rnacentral:pre_miRNA from 1 species
AACUCAAUUUUCGUCGGCGUGCAUGUAUCUGGUGCACGGUUUUCAGUUGCAAUAUAGCUUCGUGACUAGAUUACAUGCUCGUCUAUGAAGUUG